rnacentral:rRNA from 1 species
GAGGACGACGCUGGCGGCGUGGAUUAGGCAUGCAAGUCGAACGGUAUCAUCCUUUCGGGGGUGAGAGAGUGGCGAACUGGUGAGUAACACGUAGGUUAUCUACCCUCAAGACGGGACAACCCGGGAAACUUGGGCUAAUACCGGAUGUGAGCAACUUUUAGUUGUUUGAAAGGUGGCGUAAGCUGUCGCUUGGGGAUGAGCCUGCGUCCUAUUAGUUAGUUGGUGAGGUAACGGCUCACCUAGGCAAUGAUAGGUAGGCGGCCUUAACGGGUGGUCGCCCACACUGGGAUUGAGAUACGGCCCAGACUCCUACGGGAGGCAGCAGUCGAGAAUAGUCUACAAUGGUCGGAAGACUGAUAGUGCGACGCCGCGUGAACGAUGAAUCCCUUCGGGGUGUAAAGUUCUUUUAUAUGUGAGCAGUGCUUCUUAUAUUAACAGUAUGGGGAGAGAGAUAUUAGCAUAUGAAUAAGCAACGGCUAACUCCGUG